GUGAGUCAUCGAAUCUUUGAACGCACAUUGCGCUCCCUGGUAUUCCGGAGAGCACGCCCGUUCCAGAAUCAGUAAAACUCUCACCCAGGUUUGGAUGUCUUCGGACCCCGAGCAAGGGUGGACCAUGGAUUUUUGUGUUUUUGCAAUCAUCUUAAAUUAAAUGUGUGUACACCAAAGUUCAGUCUUUCGGUUGUCAAAGUGCAACAGAUUUUUGUCGCCGCUUGGACAGUCGAUUGGACGGCUUUGAUGGACAUGCUUCACAUUCACCGCACGGCUUCCGAAUCGCAAUGAUUUGGGAUC
rnacentral:misc_RNA from 1 species